GAUGCGCGUGGUAGCGGAGCGUUCUGUGAUAUAGAACGCUGCCUCCUUAGUAUCCUCGGAUACAUUGGAGGCAAUGUUCUGACUGUGAAGCCGGGCCGUAAGGCAGCCGGUGGAGUGAUCAGAAGUGAGAAUGUUGACAUGAGUAGCGACAAACAGGGUGAGAGACCCUGUCGCCGAAAGUCCAAGGGUUCCUGCUUAAAGCUAAUCUGAGCAGGGUAAGCCGACCCCUAAGGCGAGGCCGAAAGGCGUAGUCGAUGGGAACCAGGUUAAUAUUCCUGGGCCAUGUGGUGGUGACGGAUUGCGAGGGUUGUUCGAUCUUAUUGGAUUGAUCGGGCCGCUUAGCAGUUCCUGGAAAUAGCCCCACUGUAAGAUCGUACCCGAAACCGACACAGGUGGACUGGUAGAGAAUACCAAGGCGCUUGAGAGAACCACGUUUAAGGAACUCGGCAAAAUGCCUCCGUAAGUUCGCGAGAAGGAGGCCCCAUUCGGACGCAAGUCUGGGUGGGGGGCACAAACUAGGGGGUGGCGACUGUUUACUUAAAACACAGGGCUGUGCGAAGCCGUAAGGCGACGUAUACAGUCUGACGCCUGCCCGGUGCCGGAAGGUUAAAAGGAGAAGUGCAAGCUUUGAAUUGAAGCCCCGGUAAACGGCGGCCGUAACUAUAACGGUCCUAAGGUAGCGAAAUUCCUUGUCGGGUAAGUUCCGACCUGCACGAAUGGCGUAACGAUCUCCCCGCUGUCUCAAACGUGGACUCAGCGAAAUUGAACUGUGUGUCAAGAUGCACACUACCCGCGGUUAGACGGAAAGACCCCAUGAACCUUUACUAUAGCUUCGCACUGGCAUCAGGAUUGUGAUGUGCAGGAUAGGUGGUGGGCUUUGAAACCGGGACGCUAGUCUCGGUGGAGCCAUCCUUGAGAUACCACCCUUCGCACUCUUGAUGUCUAACCGCGGUCCGUUAUCCGGAUCCGGGACCCUGCGUGGUGGGUAGUUUGACUGGGGCGGUCGCCUCCCAAAGUGUAACGGAGGCGCGCGAAGGUUGGCUCAGACCGGUCGGAAAUCGGUCGUUGAGUGCAAUGGCAAAAGCCAGCCUGACUGCAAGACUGACAAGUCGAGCAGAGACGAAAGUCGGCCAUAGUGAUCCGGUGGUCCCGAGUGGAAGGGCCAUCGCUCAACGGAUAAAAGGUACUCUGGGGAUAACAGGCUGAUGGUGCCCAAGAGUCCAUAUCGACGGCACCGUUUGGCACCUCGAUGUCGGCUCAUCUCAUCCUGGGGCUGGAGCAGGUCCCAAGGGUACGGCUGUUCGCCGUUUAAAGAGGUACGUGAGCUGGGUUUAGAACGUCGUGAGACAGUUCGGUCCCUAUCUGCCGUGGGUGUAGGAUACUUGAGAAGAGUUGCCCCUAGUACGAGAGGACCGGGGUGAACGGACCACUGGUGGACCAGUUAUCGUGCCAACGGUAGUGCUGGGUAGCUAUGUUCGGACAGGAUAACCGCUGAAAGCAUCUAAGCGGGAAGCCCCCUUCAAAACUAGGUAUCCCUUGAGGGCCGUGGAAGACCACCACGUCGAUAGGCCAGAGAUGUAAGCGCGGCAACGCGUUCAGUUGACUGGUACUAAUUGCCCGAUAGGCUUGAUUUG
rnacentral:rRNA from 1 species